rnacentral:lncRNA from 1 species
UGGGUCCUCUUCGUAUGCUUGCAUUGCUGGCCAUCUUCACGUUGCAUCCUAUUCUAAUUCAUCUAGAUGAUCUAAACCAUGCAUUUAUAUCUCUAUAAGAGGGUUGCACAUGUUUGGACUAUCUAUUACUAUGAAAAUAUGGCAGUUGGUUUCAGCUUCUCACCGUACCUUCGCAUGCAAUUCCUAUGAUUAUGUCAGUAGACAUGCGAGAGUCCUUUUCUUAU